AUUGAACGCUGGCGGCAUGCUUUACACAUGCAAGUCGAACGGUAGACCCUUUCGGGGGUUGAGAGUGGCGAACGGGUGAGUAAUGCAUCGGAACGUGCCUAGUCGUGGGGGAUAACGUAGCGAAAGUUACGCUAAUACCGCAUACGCACUGAGGUGGAAAGCGGGGGACCGUAAGGCCUCGCGCGAUUGGAGCGGCCGAUGUCGGAUUAGCUAGUUGGUGAGGUAAAGGCUCACCAAGGCGACGAUCCGUAGCGGGUCUGAGAGGAUGAUCCGCCACACUGGGACUGAGACACGGCCCAGACUCCUACGGGAGGCAGCAGUGGGGAAUUUUGGACAAUGGGCGCAAGCCUGAUCCAGCCAUGCCGCGUGCGGGAAGAAGGCCUCGGUUGUAACGUAC
rnacentral:rRNA from 1 species